rnacentral:rRNA from 1 species
AUUGAACGCUGGCGGCAGGCCUAACACAUGCAAGUCGAACGGUAACAGAAAGCAGCUUGCUGCUUUGCUGACGAGUGGCGGACGGGUGAGUAAUGUCUGGGAAACUGCCUGAUGGAGGGGGAUAACUACUGGAAACGGUAGCUAAUACCGCAUAACGUCGCAAGACCAAAGAGGGGGACCUUCGGGCCCCUUGCCAUCGGAUGUGCCCAGAUGGGAUUAGCUUGUUGGUGGGGUAACGGCUCACCAAGGCGACGAUCCCUAGCUGGUCUGAGAGGAUGACCAGCCACACUGGAACUGAGACACGGUCCAGACUCCUACGGGAGGCAGCAGUGGGGAAUAUUGCACAAUGGGCGCAAGCCUGAUGCAGCCAUGCCGCGUGUAUGAAGAAGGCCUUCGGGUUGUAAAGUACUUUCAGCGGGGAGGAAGGGAGUAAAGUUAAUACCUUUGCUCAUUGACGUUACCCGCAGAAGAAGCACCGGCUAACUCCGUG